rnacentral:lncRNA from 1 species
UUCCUAGGUUACAUCUGAUAUACAACUUGUGUUUUACAAGGUGAUCAAAUACCAAGGAUUACUUUGCAUUAUCCAGCAGUCAUUGAUAACGAACUAGUUAUCCCUAGUAGUCCCCUUUCAAUAGCAAAUUAAAAUUGAUUAUCCAUCAAUCCAUUAAAGGUGGAUUCCUGAUGAACUAUUCAGCAUUAUAUCCCAACACCUUAAUAUCAUAUUUCCUUCUGCCACUAGGCGAGAAUCCCAAUUCACAUUCAUGGAUGCUGCUCCACGUCAAUACUUAUGUUCAGACAAAUUCCAUUAAUGCUGUCUCUACAGCUUUACUGCUUUCCUUUACACCGAUCAUAAAGUAAAUCAUGACCAUUUCAUCACUGGAAAAUUUUCCUCAUAUACUCAAAUCAUUUU